rnacentral:rRNA from 1 species
UACAGAGACUGCAAGCGUUGUUCGGAUUCAUUGGGCGUAAAGGGUGCGCAGGCGGUGUGCUAAGUCGGAUGUGAAAUCUCACAGCCUAACUGUGAUAGGUCAUUCGAAACUGGCAUGCUAGAGGAUUGGAGGGGAGACUGGAAUAGUUGGUGUAGCAGUGAAAUGCGUAGAGAUCAACUAGAACACCGGUGGCGAAGGCGAGUCUCUGGACAAUUCCUGACGCUCAGGCACGAAAGCCAGGGGAGCAAACGGG